rnacentral:rRNA from 1 species
UACAGAGGUCUCAAGCGUUGUUCGGAUUCAUUGGGCGUAAAGGGUGCGUAGGUGGGCAGGUAAGUCAGUGGUGAAAUCCCCGAGCUUAACUUGGGAACUGCCAUUGAUACUAUUUGUCUUGAAUACUGUGGAGGUUAGCGGAAUAUGUCAUGUAGCGGUGAAAUGCUUAGAUAUGACAUAGAACAUCAAUUGCGAAGGCAGCUGGCUACACAAAUAUUGACACUGAGGCACGAAAGCGUGGGGAUCAAACAGG